UAUAGACCAAAAUUUUUAUGUAGACACCCGGGUGAUUUUUUUUUUUUUUAAGUUCUUCCAGUACCAAUCACCUCUCGAUACCUCUCAUCCAUAGCUCACCCAGACAAUUCUCGAAGCAUCCAUCAGAGCUUACACAAUGUUGUUCAACAAAGCAGGUACAGUCCCAACAAAAGAGGGGUCGAAACUCUGAAUGCGAACACCCCUGAAUGCUCUGUGCUCAAAAUCCAGAAUCCCAGUGUUGUACAUUGGGCCAAUCUCUAAUACAAAUGGGACUUCUUGGCAGCCAGUCAUUUCUUAGCUUGGGAAGGGCUGAUUCUUUCUGUUGCCUGAAGGGAAAUACAAAGGCCAAAUCUCCACCCAUUAUGAACACAGCAUUCUUCCUUUAGUAUACCUUAUAAAAGCACCAGUUUAUAUCUGAAAGCAGACUAAAACAUUGCUUCAGUCUCACUUCAAAGAAACUGCCUGACUAGUGGAAGAAUGAAGCUCUUCACGCUCUUUGGCUUGCUGUCUGUCUUGAUCCUGUGCCUCAGUGUUUUCUCUACAGAAGGUCGGGUCAGUCGAAAACCCUGCUGCAGACGAAUUCCAAAAAUUCGCACAGGCAAGGCUGUUCAACUAAAGAGACACCACUGCACACCAUGUAAAAACCCUAAAAGAAUCCCUGGGCCUCCUCAGAAACCAGGACCGCUUCCUCAGAGUUAAAGUGAACAGCCUCAGCAGCACGUAAAAGGCCUGCGGUCCAUAGCAGUCUGGCUGCCGCCACAUCUCAUAAUGUUUUUAUUUGGUUUUGGGGCCCUCUGUGGGGGAAUCAUCCUUUCAGUAGAUGAACAGGAGUGUAUAUGCUUUUCAGUCACUAAUGUUCAUCCAUUCAUAGCGUUCUCUCCUCUCCUUUGCAUAAGGUUAAAACUCUCUAGCUGGGGUGCUAAAGCCUUUCUGUGAAGUGGGCUGUCGCUCGUCUUCAAGCUUUCUGCAGUUACACAUCAGCCCUCCAUUCCAUUAGUGGAUCUCUCCCAACAAGUGGUAGAGUGAACAGAUACAGCUAGAAAUCCUUCCACACCACCACUCUGUUUGACAUAAUUUUGGCACAUAAAUCUGUGCUGGUUGGGGAUGGCCUGUUUGUUUUUCCCUAUAGUCAGUUUUUUCCCCUAAACCCACAUUUCUGGAAAUGAUUUAUCUUAGAUCAGCAAACGGAUCACAAUUUUAGACAGAUGUCUGGGUGCUGAAAUUUGCCUCUAUGCAGAGGACCCGGAUGAAGCCCAUCAAGGCAACACUUAAGUCUUGCAUGAGUGCUUAGAAUUUGUGCUGGCCCCCUCCAGAGAGCUGAAUUUCUUCCACAUGAGAGAAAGCUCCACCUUUUGGGCAGGAGCUGAUAACCAGGACAGAGGGGCAAACAGGUCAAUUUGAAGUAUUCAUUAAGGACUUGAUAUAAAGCCAGUGGAAAGCUUUCCACUGACUUCAUUGGGCUUUGGAUCAAGCUCUAAAAUGCAGAUGCCUUAUCUCUAGGAUAAUGGCAUUACUUGGUUGAUGAGCAAUAUUCAGAAAAUGCCUUAACAUUAAUUAUUUAACCCUGUUCUUUCUGAAAUUCUAGGGCAAUUGUUCCUCUAAGUACUCCUGAAUUUGGUGUUUCAUGGCACAUAAACAAAAGCACAUUUUGAAGGGGUGGAAUAGAACGAUACCAAGGCAGUGAAAAUUGAGGACAACAGAAAAUGCACUCAGACCUUAUUGGCAGGGCUUGUUUGCAGUUAACUCUAUAAGUACAGUGGUCCCCAGUUCAGACAUUAGAUGGGUUCCAUCAUUUUUUACAUUUACAUUUCUGCUUGGUGUUUAAUAUUCUCAUUGUAAUAUAGGCUCGCUAUCUCCAUGCUCAGAAACUAAAGAAUUGACUUUCAACGGAGAUAGGCAAGUGCCAAAUGUCAUUAGUCUCAGAGGUCACAAAUGUGAAUCAGCUAUUUGAAUGUUCUAGUUCAUUGGCACAUACGUUAAUUUCAGUUUUGUCAUUGUUUCAUAGUUUGCUGAAUGAAUCUCUCUAAUACAAGUAAAUGUAACACACGUGGAUUGUGAGCUGUUUGGGGCAAGGAGGAUGACUUACUGUCUAAAAAUCACCAUAUAAAUUUAUGGAUGAAGAAAUUAUUUUAAGUAGUAAUAACCAGUACUGGGAUUCUGGUCUCUAACAUUAGUUUAACCCCAUUCGUUUUCAUCUCAAAGCAAGUGACAUGUUUCUCUAAAAAAAAUUAGCCCUUUAAAACAACAUAUUUGAAACUUAGUGUCAGCUGGGACAGAUGUUGAUGGUGGAUGCUUCCACAAUAACCCAAUCCCAGUUGAUGGGAGAAGGGGAAGAAAGAGAGUUUGAAACUGGAUAACAAAAACUUAAGUUCAAAAAUACAUUAGCAAUAGUAGAAAAAUAUAUUCCGUGGAAUUUUUCCCAUUAAAGAGCCUGACUCUGCAAACUCUUACACAUGUGAGUUCUUCUCCCUUACUUUAUUUACAUCUAUAGUCAAACUGAACUCAGUAGGACUACUUGCAUGACUAAAGUUACUUGAGUGCAGGAACAUUUUCAGCAUCUAAUCCCUAAAGGAAAAACUAAAGUAUUUUUACUACCUAGUAGCAUGCAACUAGAAUCUGCACGUGGCAUAAGUUACAAGUACUUGUUCUUCCCUUUCUUUUCUCUUGGAUUAUGUAUGUUUGGCAUUACCUAGAUCUAAAAAUAUUUUACUUACUGCAUUUAAAAUAGGCCAAUAAAUAUAUUAUACAAAACCUAGGCGGACCAGAUAGCAAGUAUGAAAAAUCGGGACGGGGGUGGGGGUGGGGGU